rnacentral:pre_miRNA from 1 species
CUGGGCAAUAUAGCAAGACCCCAUCUCUUUAAUUUUUUUUUUUUUUUUGGAGAUGGGGUCUUGCUCUUUCCC